rnacentral:piRNA from 1 species
UAUGAUUAAAAUCCCCAACGUCAUUGCC